rnacentral:rRNA from 1 species
UGAGCAAUCUGCCCUUCUCUUUGGAAUAAGCGUUGGAAACGACGUCUAAUGCCGAAUACGACCUCCUUUCGCAUGAUCGGAGGUGGAAAACUCCGGCGGAGAAGGAUGAGCUCGCGGCCUAUCAGCUAGUUGGUGUGGGUAACGGCCCACCAAGGCGACGACGGGUAGCCGGCCUGAGAGGGUGACCGGCCACACUGGGACUGAGACACGGCCCAGACUCCUACGGGAGGCAG